AUAAUGGGUCAGCGACUUAUAUUCAGUAGCGAGGUUAACCGUAUAGGGGAGCCGUAGAGAAAUCGAGUCUUAAUAGGGCGUUUAGUUGCUGGGUAUAGACCCGAAACCAGGCGAUCUAUCCAUGAGCAGGUUGAAGGUUGGGUAACACUAACUGGAGGACCGAACCCACUGUCGUUGAAAAGCCAGGGGAUGACUUGUGGAUAGGGGUGAAAGGCUAAUCAAGCCUGGUGAUAGCUGGUUCUCCCCGAAAGCUAUUUAGGUAGCGCCUCGGACGAAUACCAUAGGGGGUAGAGCACUGUUUCGGCUAGGGGGUCAUCCCGACUUACCAAACCGAUGCAAACUCCGAAUACCUAUGAGUACUAUCCGGGAGACAGACUGCGGGUGCUAACGUCCGUAGUCAAGAGGAAAACAAUCCAGACCGCCAGCUAAGGCCCCAAAAUCAUAGUUAAGUGGGAAACGAUGUGGGAAGGCAUAGACAGCUAGGAGGUUGGCUUAGAAGCAGCCACCCUUUAAAGAAAGCGUAAUAGCUCACUAGUCGAGUCGGCCUGCGCGGAAGAUGUAACGGGGCUAAAACUAUGUGCCGAAGCUGCGGAUGUAUACUUUGUAUACGUGGUAGGGGAGCGUUCUGUAAGCCGAUGAAGGUGUGUUGAGAAGCAUGCUGGAGGUAUCAGAAGUGCGAAUGCUGACGUGAGUAACGACAAAACGGGUGAAAAACCCGUUCGCCGAAAGACCAAGGGUUCCAGUCCAACGUUAAUCGGGGCUGGGUGAGUCGACCCCUAAGGCGAGGCCGAAAGGCGUAGUCGAUGGGAAAAUGGUUAAUAUUCCAUUACUUCUGUGUAAUGCGAUGAGAGGACGGAGAAGGCUAAAUCAGCCUGGCGUUGGUUGUCCAGGUGAAAGGAUGUAGGCAUGUAUCUUAGGCAAAUCCGGGGUACUCUAUGCUGAGAUCUGAUAGCAAGCUGUACUUGUACAGCGAAGUGGUUGAUGCCAUGCUUCCAGGAAAAGUCUCUAAGCUUCAGUUACACAGGAAUCGUACCCGAAACCGACACAGGUGGUCAGGUCGAGUAGACCAAGGCGCUUGAGAGAACUCUGCUGAAGGAACUAGGCAAAAUGGUACCGUAACUUCGGGAGAAGGUACGCUGUUGUUGGUGAUGGAACUCGCUUCCUGAGCUGACGACAGCCGCAGAAACCAGGCCGCUGCAACUGUUUAUUAAAAACAUAGCACUCUGCAAACACGAAAGUGGACGUAUAGGGUGUGAUGCCUGCCCGGUGCUGGAAGGUUAAUUGAUGGGGUUAGCGUAAGCGAAGCUCUUGAUCGAAGCCCCAGUAAACGGCGGCCGUAACUAUAACGGUCCUAAGGUAGCGAAAUUCCUUGUCGGGUAAGUUCCGACCUGCACGAAUGGCAUAAUGAUGGCGGCGCUGUCUCCAGCAGAGGCUCAGUGAAAUCGAAAUCGCUGUGAAGAUGCAGUGUACCCGCGGCUAGACGGAAAGACCCCGUGAACCUUUACUGCAGCUUGACACUGAACUUUGACCUUACUUGUGUAGGAUAGGUGGGAGGCUUUGAAGCUGGAACGCUAGUUCCAGUGGAGCCGUCCUUGAAAUACCACCCUGGUAAUGUUGAGGUUCUAACUCUGUCCCGUGAUCCGGGACGAGGACCGUGUCUGGUGGGUAGUUUGACUGGGGCGGUCUCCUCCUAAAGAGUAACGGAGGAGUACGAAGGUGCGCUCAGCGUGGUCGGAAAUCACGCGUAGAGUAUAAAGGCAAAAGCGCGCUUAACUGCGAGACCCACAAGUCGAGCAGGUACGAAAGUAGGUCUUAGUGAUCCGGUGGUUCUGUAUGGAAGGGCCAUCGCUCAACGGAUAAAAGGUACUCUGGGGAUAACAGGCUGAUACCGCCCAAGAGUUCAUAUCGACGGCGGUGUUUGGCACCUCGAUGUCGGCUCAUCUCAUCCUGGGGCUGAAGCAGGUCCCAAGGGUAUGGCUGUUCGCCAUUUAAAGAGGUACGCGAGCUGGGGUUAGAACGUCGUGAGACAGUUCGGUCCCUAUCUACCGUGGGCGCUGGAAAUUUGAGAGGAUCUGCUCCUAGUACGAGAGGACCAGAGUGGACGAACCUCUGGUGUACCGGUUGUGACGCCAGUCGCAUCGCCGGGUAGCUAUGUUCGGAAGGGAUAACCGCUGAAAGCAUCUAAGCGGGAAGCCUACCUCAAGAUAAGAUUUCCCUAGGACUUUAUGUCCUCUAAAGAGCCGUUCGAGACUAGGACGUUGAUAGGUUGGAUGUGGAAGCAUAGUGAUAUGUGAAGCUGACCAAUACUAAUUGCUCGUGAGGCUUGACUA
rnacentral:rRNA from 1 species